CAAACGACUCUCGGCAACGGAUAUCUCGGCUCACGCAUCGAUGAAGAACGUACAAAAUGCGAUACUUGGUGUGAAUUGCACAAUCCCGUGAACCAUCGAGUUUUUGAACGCAAGUUGCGCCCGAAGCCAUUCGGCCGAGGGCACGUCUGCCUGGGCGUCACGC
rnacentral:rRNA from 1 species